GAUGAACGCUGGCGGCGUGCCUAAUACAUGCAAGUCGAGCGAACGGACGAGAAGCUUGCUUCUCUGAUGUUAGCGGCGGACGGGUGAGUAACACGUGGAUAACCUACCUAUAAGACUGGGAUAACUUCGGGAAACCGUAGCUAAUACCGGAUAAUAUUUUGAACCGCAUGGUUCAAAAGUGAAAGACGGUCUUGCUGUCACUUAUAGAUGGAUCCGCGCUGCAUUAGCUAGUUGGUAAGGUAACGGCUUACCAAGGCAACGAUGCAUAGCCGACCUGAGAGGGUGGACGGCCACACUGGAACUGAGACAGGGUCCAGACUCCUACGGGAGGCAGCAGUAGGGAAUCUUCCGCAAUGGGCGAAAGCCUGACGGAGCACCGCCGCGUGAGUGAUGAAGGUCUUCGGAUCGUAAAACUCUGUUAUUAGGGAAGAACAUAUGUGUAAGUAACUGUGCACAUCUUGACGGUACCUAAUCAGAAAGCCACGGCUAACUACGUG
rnacentral:rRNA from 1 species